GGCCGCGGGAAUUCGAUUCAGGCCUAACACAUGCAAGUCGAGCGGAUGAAGAGGGCUUGCUCUCUGAUUCAGCGGCGGACGGGUGAGUAAUGCCUAGGAAUCUGCCUGGUAGUGGGGGACAACGUUUCGAAAGGAACGCUAAUACCGCAUACGUCCUACGGGAGAAAGUGGGGGAUCUUCGGACCUCACGCUAUCAGAUGAGCCUAGGUACGAUUAGCUAGUUGGUGAGGUAAAGGCUCACCAAGGCGACGAUCGUUAACUGGUCUGAGAGGAUGAUCAGUCACACUGGAACUGAGACACGGUCCAGACUCCUACGGGAGGCAGCAGUGGGGAAUAUUGGACAAUGGGCGAAAGCCUGAUCCAGCCAUGCCGCGUGUGUGAAGAAGGUCUUCGGAUUGUAAAGCACUGUAAGUUGGGAGGAAGGGCAGUAAGUUAAUACCUUGCUGUUUGACGUACCGACAGA
rnacentral:rRNA from 1 species